rnacentral:rRNA from 1 species
ACUUUCAACAACGGAUCUCUUGGCUCUCGCAUCGAUGAAGAACGUAGCGAAGUGCGAUAAGUAAUGUGAAUUGCAGAAUUCCGUGAAUCAUCGAAUCUUUGAACGCAAAUUGCACUCUCUGGUAACCCGGGGAGUAUGCCUGUUUGGGGGUCAGU